AACUGAAGCAGAGGCCACAGAGGAGUGCUUGAGGGCUGGCUUCCCCGUCCAGGUCCACCUGCUUAUGAGUUGUAAGUCAGUGCCCUGCACACAUCCUCACAGGUCAUUACGACGGAUGACAUUUCUCAGUGGAGAUUCUCUCUUCCAGAUGCCUCGUGGUUAGAGGACGUAUUCUGAUUGGUUCCUGAGGAAGGCAGAAGAGGAGAUGUGUAUGGCAGACAAUCAUCCCUUGCCCUGUGUUGUUAUGGAUCAUCUCAACUGGUUCCAUCAGACAUCUACAUCCUACAGUGCUACCGUCAUAGCUGAAAACUCCACCUGGGGACAGAAGGCGUGUUCAGAGGUGCAGCUGGCAUACCUCAGGGCCACGUACUGUGGUCAGGAUCAGUAUAAUUUCUAAAAUACCUGAAUCUUUUGAAAAAAUGUGAAAAGCAGACAAAUAAUCACCUGAUUAUAUGACGUGAACUGGGGAGAGUGGAACACGGUUUGGAUAUCACAGAAAGAAUGUAACUCAGUUUAUUCCAAAGAAAAUAGUAAAAGCUUAACAAUUACAAUGAAUUCCAAAUACAUUGUAAUCCAAAUUACAAUGAAUACCCAUGAUUUGGUCAGAGCAAUGUCAUUGACCUUGAGAUUUCAAGGUCUUCUGAACCCUCCUUUGACUUCUUUGUUGCUGGCCAUGGUUCCUGCAUG